rnacentral:rRNA from 1 species
CAGUCGCCGCGGGAAAACGAAGGUCCCAAGCGUUGUUCGGAAUCACUGGGCGUAAAGGGAGCGUAGGCGGCGUGGUAAGUCAGAUGUGAAAUCCCGGGGCUCAACCCCGGAACUGCAUUUGAUACUGCCAUGCUUGAGGGUUGGAGAGGUAGCUGGAAUUCUUGGUGUAGCAGUGAAAUGCGUGGAUAUCAAGAGGAACACUCGUGGCGAAGGCGAGCUACUGGACAACAUCUGACGCUGAGGCUCGAAGGCUAGGGUAGCGAAAGGGAUUAGAGACCCCUGUAGUCCCUGUCUCUUAUAC